CAAUAGCGUAUAUUUAAGUUGCUGCAGUUAAAAAGCUCGUAGUCGGAUUUUGGCUGAGAACGAUCGGUCCGCCGUUAGGUGUGCACUGAUUGGUCUCAGCUUCCUGGUGAGGAGGUGUGCUUCACGGCCACUUAGUCACCGUGGUUACUUUGAAAAAAUUAGAGUGUUCAAAGCGGGCUUACGCUUGAAUAUUUCAGCAUGGAAUAACACUAUAGGACUCCUGUCCUAUUUCGUUGGUCUCGGGACGGGAGUAAUGAUUAAGAGGAACAGUUGGGGGCAUUCGUAUUUCAUUGUCAGAGGUGAAAUUCUUGGAUUUAUGAAAGACGAACUUCUGCGAAAGCAUUUGCCAAGGAUGUUUUCAUUAA
rnacentral:rRNA from 1 species